AGUUCCUUUGGCAUCAUCUGUUUUGCGAAGCUGCUCUUCGUUUAUUUAAUAAUUGAGUUUUAUUCGGUAGACUAUCUUGGUUAUAUUAAUUAGGCCUAUGUUUCCAUUAAAGUAUGUUAAGUGGCAAUCAUUGUUGUUUUAAUAUAUCAUUCGGUUUAUUUUUAUUUAGCUAAUAAUAAGUCAGCAUAAUUUUAGCAUAAUUUACUAUUGCAUUUAGCAUAUUUUCAGUAGAGUUAGCAUAUUUUCACAGCACGUCUAGCACAAUUUCGUCCUGAUGAUUUGGUAACACUGGUUCUUAAUUGUCAAACACGCAGAAGGGUGCCCUACACCCGACACCCGUCACAUUUUCCCCACGCCCCACACCCGACAGGUUCUUUACUACGGACCUUAAUUAUAUAUAGAGAUAUAUAAACAAUGAGAAAAAUGACAUUCUGCCUUGUACUUGGCACCGAUAAUGGAAAAGACGGAUGGAAAAAAAACUAACGAAGAUAGGCACUAAGAAGACGCUUGAUAAGAACCUUAUAAAAGAAGCUCAGAACGCAUCUGUAUCUCAAACAACAUGAAGACUCUACUGCUGCUAAUUCUGCUCCUGGGAGUCAUCGCUCUUUCUAGUGGAACUGUUUACUCUUGCCCUAAGAAAUGUCCUGAGAAAUGCCCGCCGCUCGACGAAACCUCCUGCGAGCAUGGAGUAGUGACUGACGCUUGCAAGUGUUGCAACGUGUGUGGGAAGGGACCAGGUGAAGUCUGCAAUGGGAUAAGCCUCAAAUGUGGAGAUGGGAUGUAUUGCGACGGAGAUGCCUUGAAGGCCCUAUAUCCGUGUUGCUAUGGACUCUGUGUUGCUAAGGCGGUCACUAGCGCGCUAAAGGCGGUCACUAGCGCGGCAAAACCUUCCAUCCUAUACAACAAAUCUCUACAGAUGGUGUCCGGGCGUGUAAGUGCUAGCCAUCCUAUGGAUUAGCACCCGAAAGCGAUGCUCCUGUCCUUUGGUCUAUUGUUUUUGCUCAUUAUUAUAUUUGCUUUGUUGUCAUUAUUCAGAUUUCUUUGCCUCUCAUGUUCACUGUUUUUCAUUACCUCGCUAUUUUGCUAUUUAUUUUGUCAUAUGUACUAUAUUUUAGGCACAUCUCUUGUUUAUCAUGUAUUUACUGUUUUUGGGUAUUAUUAUUAUAUCUUAGACCAUAUUCUCCCGUGUUAUGUAUCUUACUCUGUGUACUCUCACUACUUUGUAUUCUUAUAUAUGCCCAUAUAUGUCAGUGUUAGCAUUAUGUAUACGAUAUUUAUGAUCUAUGCUAUGAUAUAUAUAUGUGUUAUGAUAUUUUACUUAGCUAGUUGUUUGUGCCUUGCAUUUGCUCUGACAUACCGUGUAUGCGCCGGAGACCGGCGCGGUAGCGUGGCAGAGCGGUGAAAGCACUGCACUCUGUACAUUGCAUUACUUGUAACGCUGUAUCUGAGAACAGCUGAUUAAGUUCUGUUAUCCAAUAUAUAUAAUUGUAUUUGCAUUCAUAUAGCUGUACUGAUUCUUUUAGUCUUAAUGUCUUGUUCUAUAAAUAUAUAUCUACGCUCCUCGCAGGCCGCCCAAGCGCGCCACGCCACGCCUUUUCACGUAAACAGUAAAACCACUAUACUCAGAGACUCUAUUCUACCAACCAUAUAAAGCAAUAGGUAGGUCUACAUUGACGUCACGUAGGAAUUCAUAUGACGUCAUGUAACAAGCCUACGGGCCUGGAUAUAAACGCUCCCCUCGGAAAGUCUCACCAGACAAGGGGGACACCGAGGGAGUUACCAUAAUCCACUGUAC
rnacentral:misc_RNA from 1 species